rnacentral:misc_RNA from 1 species
CUGGGAAAAUAGUGGCUAUGGGUGAUCCUGUACCAUUGAGUGAGCUUGUAGCAGCUGGUCCAGGGGCUUAUUGGAAAGUAGCACAAGUAACUUCUGAGCUGGUUUCUAAAUCAAAUGACAAUGGUAGAGAUGUGGACAAUUUUGGAGGUUCAGAUACUUCUGCCAGGCAGUCAAAAGAAGUUCCAUCAGAUAAGAAAGAAAAUCAGAUCACUAACCAUGGGAAGUCACCUACUUUUAGAGACAUAUCUAGUGAGGACCAUGGGAGAUUGUUAGAUGUUGUCUCUGGCUCUGGUGCAGCCAUUGCAAAGGACGCCAAAGGGCAAAAGGGCCGCAAGGCUUCUGAUUUGGCCAAAACCAUAGGGGUGGUCCCUGAAUCUGAGAAUGGAUCCAGAUCUUCCAUUGUUCAGAAUGAUUAUGGAAAGGCGGAAACUCUAAAAGAGAAUAGCAUUAUGGAGAGUUCCAUCGUUGAGGUUUUCAAAGAUGGGAGUGGAUUUAAGGCAGCCUGGUUCCCAGCCAAAAUUUUGAGUUUAAAGGAUGGGAAGGCUUAUGUGAGUUAUGCUGAGCUCACAUCAGGUGAAGGCUCAGAGAAGUUAAAGGAGUGGGUGUCACUUGAAGAGGAAGGAGAUGAGGCACCCAAAAUACGUGUUGCCCGUCCUAAUACUGCCUUGCCAUUUGAAGGAACAAGGAAGAGGAGGAGAGCUGCCAUCAUGGACUAUAAUUGGUCUGUUGGUGAUAGAGUUGAUGCAUGGAUACAA